rfam:Oryza punctata chromosome 10, whole genome shotgun sequence.
AUCCCAUGAUGAGGACAGGCGGCGACGUAUUCCUGCAGCCUUUCCCAAGCUUCUGGAAUCGUCUCAUCUUUUGUCUGCUUGAAGUUUGAUAUUUUUCCACGAAGGGU